GGAAGAGGAAGUGGAGCUCAGCUAAUGGCCACAGCAGCACUGGUGACAGCGGACAGCCUCCGUCUGCUGCUGUGUAUGAAAAUGUCCCAGCCUCAAACCUCAGAGGGAGAGUCGAUGAUCAGGAUAAUGUUCACUAUGCCAGUGUUGUUUUUAACUCGCACACACAGGAAGAGUCUCUGUCACCCAGACUUCCUCCAGACACCACAGAGGAAGAGGAUGUUCAGUACGCUGCUGUGAACGUUAGCAGGAACACUGCUGCCAUCCAGCUUGUGGCAGAUGAAGCGGCAGAAGAUUCAUCUCAGAUCUACAGCAAGAUCCAGAAAAUCACCAGAAAGAGAACGAGCUGAGAGAGUUGUGAUCGUUCUGUUCUGUAUCCAAAUCGAACAGGAGAAGAGGCGCGGCUUUGGCAUUUUAUCAGAGUAGCAGUAUUGAUGCUUCAGUAGUGUAUUUUAGUGUUUAUAUAGUACUGUAUGCUGUUUUACCUUAGCAAUUGUAUAUGCAGGUCAGGAUUUUUAAGAGGAAUUUAGAUUAAGGAUCAUUUUUUUUUACAUCUGUUUUUUUUUUUUUUUUGUUCCAUUAUAAUCUUUAUUAACGCGUCUUUGCUCUAUUCAUUUAUUUUUUUUUACAUUUAUUUUAAUGCUAUUCAAUCUAUAGUGCUCUUUUUAUUUUAAGUGAUCUAUAUAUGCUUUCUUUAUGCAUAUAAAGAAAGCAUAUAUAGGCUGUCAGGAUGCACGCCUGACACUGAGUUGUCGAAUCAGUGAGAGAGAGUAAUAAAGUAGCGGCUGGAUACGCUUGAGUGAGAGAGAGAGAGAUGCAUGCGUGUCUUAUGUAUGCCUUCGAUUUUUGUUUUACGUUCUGUUUGCGUUCUGUUUUUGAUUAAACUUUACUUUUG